CGUAUCACCCAAGACAACUUUACGGAGUUGACGAUUGACGGAGCGAAGCGACGUCAAAGCGUUCAUUAAAGUCGAGUUGGCUUAGGGAUACGUUCGUUGGGUAGGGGAGCGUUCUGUAAGCCUGUGAAGGUGUGUCGUGAGGCAUGCUGGAGGUAUCAGAAGUGCGAAUGCUGACAUAAGUAACGAUAAAGCGGGUGAAAAGCCCGCUCGCCGGAAGACCAAGGGUUCCUGUCCAACGUUAAUCGGGGCAGGGUGAGUCGACCCCUAAGGCGAGGCCGAAAGGCGUAGUCGAUGGGAAACGGGUUAAUAUUCCCGUACUUGGUGUUACUGCGAAGGGGGGACGGAGAAGGCUAUGUUGGCCGGGCGACGGUUGUCCCGGUUUAAGCGUGUAGGUGUGUGUUCCAGGUAAAUCCGGUUCACUUUAACACUGAGGCGUGACGACGAGGCACUACGGUGCUGAAGCAACAAAUGCCCUGCUUCCAGGAAAAGCCUCUAAGCAUCAGGUAACACGAAAUCGUACCCCAAACCGACACAGGUGGUCAGGUAGAGAAUACCAAGGCGCUUGAGAGAACUCGGGUGAAGGAACUAGGCAAAAUGGUGCCGUAACUUCGGGAGAAGGCACGCUGACACGUAGGUGAAGUGAUUUACUCAUGGAGCUGAAGUCAGUCGAAGAUACCAGCUGGCUGCAACUGUUUAUUAAAAACACAGCACUGUGCAAACACGAAAGUGGACGUAUACGGUGUGACGCCUGCCCGGUGCCGGAAGGUUAAUUGAUGGGGUCAGCGUAAGCGAAGCUCCUGAUCGAAGCCCCGGUAAACGGCGGCCGUAACUAUAACGGUCCUAAGGUAGCGAAAUUCCUUGUCGGGUAAGUUCCGACCUGCACGAAUGGCGUAAUGAUGGCCAGGCUGUCUCCACCCGAGACUCAGUGAAAUUGAACUCGCUGUGAAGAUGCAGUGUACCCGCGGCAAGACGGAAAGACCCCGUGAACCUUUACUAUAGCUUGACACUGAACAUUGAGCCUUGAUGUGUAGGAUAGGUGGGAGGCUUUGAAGUGUGGACGCCAGUCUGCAUGGAGCCGACCUUGAAAUACCACCCUUUAAUGUUUGAUGUUCUAACGUGGACCCGUAAUCCGGGUUGCGGACAGUGUCUGGUGGGUAGUUUGACUGGGGCGGUCUCCUCCUAAAGAGUAACGGAGGAGCACGAAGGUUGGCUAAUCCUGGUCGGACAUCAGGAGGUUAGUGCAAUGGCAUAAGCCAGCUUGACUGCGAGCGUGACGGCGCGAGCAGGUGCGAAAGCAGGUCAUAGUGAUCCGGUGGUUCUGAAUGGAAGGGCCAUCGCUCAACGGAUAAAAGGUACUCCGGGGAUAACAGGCUGAUACCGCCCAAGAGUUCAUAUCGACGGCGGUGUUUGGCACCUCGAUGUCGGCUCAUCACAUCCUGGGGCUGAAGUAGGUCCCAAGGGUAUGGCUGUUCGCCAUUUAAAGUGGUACGCGAGCUGGGUUUAGAACGUCGUGA
rnacentral:rRNA from 1 species